rnacentral:misc_RNA from 1 species
UGGGGCACUUAAACUCCUCAGGGGGUGUACCUCUAUUUAGAACAUCAGUGUGCACUUCAUAUCGUGGAAUUCCUACAUCAGACUCUACUUCAACAGAUUGGCUACAUAAAGAAGUAUUGCUAGAGUUUGUGGGCACAACUGAUCCUUCAUGCUCAGCUAUUUGCUCUUCCAUAAUCAAGUUCCCAUACUUCUUCAGCAGAUACAAAAGAUAUUUUAAGAUUUUCUUUUUGGUAGGGUCAUUGUCACCAACUUUAUCUAACAGCUUCUUAAUUGAUCUUUUCUCUAUUAAUAUAGCCUUUGGGGAUGUAAUAUGAAGCC